rnacentral:rRNA from 1 species
UACGAAGGGGGCUAGCGUUGUUCGGAAUUACUGGGCGUAAAGCGCACGUAGGCGGAUUGUUAAGUGAGGGGUGAAAUCCCAGGGCUCAACCCUGGAACUGCCUUUCAUACUGGCAAUCUCGAGUCCGAGAGAGGUGAGUGGAAUUCCGAGUGUAGAGGUGAAAUUCGUAGAUAUUCGGAGGAACACCAGUGGCGAAGGCGGCUCACUGGCUCGGUACUGAUGCUGAGGUGCGAAAGCGUGGGGAGCAAACAGG